rnacentral:rRNA from 1 species
GCAGGCUUAACACAUGCAAGUCGAGGGGUAACAAUGGUGCUUGCACCAGUUGACGACCGGCGGAUGGGUGCGUAACGCGUAUACAAUUUGCCUUACAGAGAGGGAUAGCCCGAAGAAAUUUGGAUUAAUACCUCAUAGUAUCUAGGAGAGGCAUCUUUUUUAGAUUAAACAUUUAUGGCUGUAAGAUGAGUAUGCGUCCUAUUAGCUAGUUGGUAUGGUAACGGCAUACCAAGGCGACGAUAGGUAGGGGUCCUGAGAGGGAGAUCCCCCACACUGGUACUGAGACACGGACCAGACUCCUACGGGAGGCAGCAGUGAGGAAUAUUGGACAAUGGGCGAGAGCCUGAUCCAGCCAUGCCGCGUGCAGGAAGACUGCCCUAUGGGUUGUAAACUGCUUUUAUACAGGAAGAAAAAGGUGUACGUGUACGCUGUUGACGGUACUGUAUGAAUAAGAAUCGGCUAACUCCGUGCCAGCAGCCGCGGUAAUACGGAGGAUUCAAGCGUUAUCCGGAAUCAUUGGGUUUAAAGGGUCCGUAGGCGGAAUGAUAAGUCAGUGGUGAAAGUUUGUGGCUCAACCAUAAAAUUGCCAUUGAUACUGU